rnacentral:rRNA from 1 species
UAUAAACUGUUUCAUAUAAAUUUAUAAUAAAAUUUUAUAUUUUAGUAAAAAAGCUAAAAUUUUAUUAAAAGACGAGAAGACCCUAUAAAUCUUUAUAUUUUGUUUUAAUUAAAUUUUUUAAAUUUGUUUUAUUUAAUUUAAUAUAAAAUAUUUUAUUGGGGUGAUAUUAAAAUUUAUUAAACUUUUAAUUUUGAUUAAACAUUUAUUUAUGAUUUAUUGAUCUAUUAAUAAUGAUUAUAAGAAUAAGUUACUUUAGGGAUAACAGCGUAAUUUUUUUGGAGAGUUCUUAUUAAUAAAAAAGUUUGCGACCUCGAUGUUGGAUUAAGAAUAAAUUUAGGUGAAGAUGCUUAAAAAUUAAGUCUGUUCGACUUUUAAAUUCUUACAUGAUCUGAGUUCAGACCGGCGUAAGCCAGGUUGGUUUCUAUCUUUAAAUUUGAUAAAUAUUUUAGUACGAAAGGACCAAAUAUUAAAUUUAUAAUAAUUUAUUAUUUUGAAAGUUAAUAAAAUA